CGUCUAUAUACGUAUAGCAUAUCAAUAAGCGGAGGAAAAGAAACUAACUAGGAUUCCCUCAGUAACGGCGAGUGAAGCGGGAAGAGCUCAAAUUUGAAAUCUUCAAGGUUCUACCUUGACGAAUUGUAGUUUAAAGAAGUGUUUUCUGUUGGAGUUUUGGUAAAAGUUCUUUGGAAUAGGACAUCAUAGAGGGUGAGAAUCCCGUAUUUGACCAUUAUUUCCAACUUUGUGAUACACUUUCAAAGAGUCGGAUUGUUUGGGAAUGCAGUCCAAAAUGGGUGGUAAAUUUCAUCUAAAGCUAAAUACUGGCGAGAGACCGAUAGCGAACAAGUACCGUGAGGGAAAGAUGAAAAGAACUUUGAAAAGAGAGUUAAACAGUACGUGAAAUUGUCAAAAGGGAAGCGUUUGACACCAGUGUUGUUUUCUCGAAAAUCAAUUAAAAAUGGUGGGAUUUUGUGUUGUAUUGACUUUAUCAGCUUUCUGCACUUUUUUCCUAUCUUUUUUAAUGCACUUUCGUUUAACAAGUCAACAUCAAUUUCUUUUGUUGUAAAAGGGUCAUUGGAAGGUGGCUUUCUUUUCGGAGAAAGUGUUUAUAGCCUUUGGCUUCUGCAAUCGGAGAGAUUGAGGUCUGCAGCGUAGAUCCUUCGGGGUUAGAUACAUUUGUGCUAAGUUAUAGCCUUUCAUAGACAACUUGUUGACUAUGAUCAGUCAUGUAGCUUACUCGCUUAUGCUAUUUUACCUACGCUUAGGAUGUUGAUCUGUAGUGCGUGCGC
rnacentral:rRNA from 1 species